UGGGCGUAAAGAGCUCGUAGGUGGUUUGUCGCGUUGUUCGUGAAAUCUCACGGCUUAACUGUGAGCGUGCGGGCGAUACGGGCAGACUUGAGUACUGCAGGGGAGACUGGAAUUCCUGGUGUAGCGGUGGAAUGCGCAGAUAUCAGGAGGAACACCGGUGGCGAAGGCGGGUCUCUGGGCAGUAACUGACGCUGAGGAGCGAAAGCGUGGGGAGCGAACAGGAUUAGAUACCCUGGUAGUCCACGCCGUAAACGGUGGGUACUAGGUGUGGGUUUCCUUCCUUGGGAUCCGUGCCGUAGCUAACGCAUUAAGUACCCCGCCUGGGGAGUACGGCCGCAAGGCUAAAACUCAAAGAAAUUGACGGGGGCCCGCACAAGCGGCGGAGCAUGUGGAUUAAUUCGAUGCAACGCGAAGAACCUUACCUGGGUUUGACAUGCACAGGACGCCGGCAGAGAUGUCGGUUCCCUUGUGGCCUGUGUGCAGGUGGUGCAUGGCUGUCGUCAGCUCGUGUCGUGAGAUGUUGGGUUAAGUCCCGCAACGAGCGCAACCCUUGUCUCAUGUUGCCAGCGGGUAAUGCCGGGGACUCGUGAGAGACUGCCGGGGUCAACUCGGAGGAAGGUGGGGAUGACGUCAAGUCAUCAUGCCCCUUAUGUCCAGGGCUUCACACAUGCUACAAUGGCCGGUACAAAGGGCUGCGAUGCCGCGAGGUUAAGCGAAUCCUUUUAAAGCCGGUCUCAGUUCGGAUCGGGGUCUGCAACUCGACCCCGUGAAGUCGGAGUCGCUAGUAAUCGCAGAUCAGCAACGCUGCGG
rnacentral:rRNA from 1 species